UUGGAGGGCAAGUCUGGUGCCAGCAGCCGCGGUAAUUCCAGCUCCAAUAGCGUAUAUUAAAGUUGUUGCAGUUAAAAAGCUCGUAGUUGAAUUUCGAGAUCAAAUUGUUGGUCGUGCCUUGGUACGUACUGGCAUUAUUGGUUUCUCCCUUCUGAAGAACCAUGAUGUCAUUAAUUUGGUGUCAUGGGGAAUCAGGACUGUUACUUUGAAAAAAUUAGAGUGUUUAAAGCAGGCUCGCGCUUGAAUACAUUAGCAUGGAAUAAUGAAAUAGGACGUUUAAUUCUAUUUUGUUGGUUUCUAGGAUUGACGUAAUGAUUAAUAGGGAUAGUUGGGGGCAUUAGUAUUCAAUUGCCAGAGGUGAAAUUCUUGGAUUUAUUGAAGACUAACUACUGCGAAAGCAUUUGCCAAGGAUGUUUUCAUUAAUCAAGAACGAAAGUUAGGGGAUCGAAGACGAUCAGAUACCGUCGUAGUCUUAACCAUAAACUAUGCCGACUAGGGAUCGGAUGAUGUUAAUUUUUUAAUGACUCAUUCGGCGCCUUACGGGAAACCAAAGUGUUUGGGUUC
rnacentral:rRNA from 1 species